GGUGGUUGAUGAAAGGACACUAACAGACUCAGGGAAAGUGUAAAGGAUUAAAGGACCUAACCCAGUGAGAAUGGCUCUACAAAGCAGGAGGCCCAGCACUCUGUCCCAUUGGCAGGGCCAGCUGCCCCGGCUGUCAGUUCUCAUAAACAGGCCCUGCUGCCAACGAUAGUGCCCUCUGGGGACUGGCUCCCUCAGGCCUAGCUAUUCUCACCGUGGUGACAGUGCUGGGUCCUCUGGGUUCCUUUGUUUUAGUGGUGAUCUUGCCUGCCCAGCAGUGUGAGUAACUGCUCACAACCUCAGCACAUUCCUCAAUUUUUAUGGCAAGAUUGGGUAACUUGAAGAUCAGCAUCUCAGAUGUAUCGUCUUCCUCGCAGGCUUCAUGUCUGCAUGUCAUCUGUUCCUCCAGAAUGGAUGGUCCAGUCUUACAAGAGAUUCAUGCUGGCUCAGCCCACCAUAGUUCAGCUGAGCUGAGGCUGCCCUCAGUGGUGAGACAAAAUGUGUCUUGAAAACCCGUCAAUCUAAUGUAUGUCCUCUGGAACUGAUACAUAAUAAAUUGCUAGGAAUGA